GCAGCUCCACGUCGACAUUCUUCCAGCUGAGGAGUGCGCUACACGGUUUUGAGUGGCGAGGAAGCGACGGCGCAAAAGCACCUCGCCACUUUGUUCAGGGUCCGAGUAAGGACGGCAACUGCUGAAUUAACGAAUAAAAUACUCGACAGCUGUGAUGACCACGGCUGCCAUAUUUGGACGCAGCGCGCUUUUUUUUUUUUUUUUGCAUUUUGUGCAUAAUGUGCUGAGUUGCAGCUGUGAGUUCCAGCAGUGAGACGAGCAGUUCCGUCGUGAAGGAGGAUCCGCAUGCUCUUCUAUGGCUUUCCAGGUAAAGUUCUGUGAUACACUCCGACUCUGUUUUUCGCAGUCAGUGCAUUACAGAACUUUGUUUUGGGAGUUUUAAGCUCUUGCCCGGAGAGAACGUGCGUUACGUCUGGAGGGAAGGAUGACAACCCCGCAAAAGCUCCCCGACGACGCUGAGCUCCGUCACUCCCUGAGCAUUCUCAAAUAAAGCAUUUUACUAUGACUGUC